CGGAGGCGCUCAAAGGUUCUCUCAGUACGGUCGGAAAUCGUACGUAGAGUGUAAAGGCAAAAGAGAGCUUGAUUGCAAGACAUACAGGUCGAGCAAGGAUGAAAAUCGGACUUAGUGAUCCGGUGGUUCUGCGUGGAAGGGCCAUCGCUCAACGGAUAAAAGCUACCCUGGGGAUAACAGGCUUAUCUCCCCCAAGAGUCCACAUCGACGGGGAGGUUUGGCACCGCGAUGUCGGCUCAUCACAUCCUGGGGCUGUAGUAGGUCCCAAGGGUUGGGCUGUUCGCCCAUUAAAGUGGUACGCGAGCUGGGUUCAGAACGUCGUGAGACAGUUCGGUCCCUAUCCGUCGCAGGCG
rnacentral:rRNA from 1 species